ACUAGAUGUAGGAACAUUGCUGCUAUAACAGCCUCCACUCUUCUGGGAAGGCUUUCCACUAGAUGUUGGAACAUUGCUGCUAUAACAGCCUCCUCUCUUCUGGGAAGGCUUUCCACUAGAUGUUGGAACAUUGCUGCUAUAACAGCCUCCACUCUUCUGGGAAGGCUUUCCACUAGAUGUUGGUACAUUGCUGCGGGGGACUUGCUUCCAUUCAGCCACAGGAGCAUUAGUGAGGUCGGCCACUGAUGUUGGGUGAUUAGGCCUGGCUCGCAGUCGGCGUUCCAAUUCAUCACAAAGGUGUUCGAUGGGGUUGAGGUCAGGGCUCCGUGCAGGCCAGUCAAGUUCUUCACACACCGAUCUCGAUAAACCAUUUCUGUAUGGACCUCGCUUUGUGCACGGGGGGGCAUUGUCAUGAUGAAACAGGAAAGGGCCUUCCUCAAACUGUUGCCACAAAGUUGGAAGCACAGAAUCGUCUAGAAUGUCAUGGCCCAAACCAUGAAAAACAGCCCCAGACCAUUAUUCCUCUUCCACCAAACUUUACAGUUGGCACUAUGCAUUAGGGCAGGUAGCGUUCUCCUGGCAUCUGCCAAAUCCAGAUUCCUCCGUCGGACUGCCAGAUGGUGAAGCGUGAUUCAUCACUCCAGAGAACAUGUUUCCACUGCUCCAGAGUCCAAUGGCGGCGAGCUUUACACCACUCCAGCUGACGCUUGGCAUUGCACAUGGUGAUCUUAGGCUUGUGUGCGGCUGCUCGGCCACGGAAACCCAUUUCAUGAAGCUCCAGACCAACAGUUGUUGUGCUGACGUUGCUUCCAGAGGCAGUUUGGAACUCGGUAGUGGAGUGUUGCAACCGAGGACAGAUGAUUUUUACGCGAUUCGGCGCUCGGCGGUCCCGUUCUGUGAGUUUGUGUGGCAUACCACUUCACGGCUGAGCCGUUGUUGCUCCUAGACGUUUCCACUUCACAAUAACAGCACUUACAGUUGACCCGGGGGCAGCUCUAGCAGGGCAGAAAUUUGACGAACUGACUUGUUGGAAAGGUGGGAUCCUAUGACUGUGCCACGUUGAAAGUCAUUGAGCUCUUCAGUAAGGCCAUUCUACUGCCAAUGUUUGUCUAUGGAGAUUGCAUGGCUGUGUGCUCGAUUUUAUACACCUGUCAGCAACAGUGUUGCUGAAAUAGACAAAUCCACUAAUUUGAAGGGGUGUCCACAUACUUUUGUAAUAUAUACAUAUGCACACAGUUGAAGUCUGAAGUUUACAUACAUUUAGGUUGGAGUCAUUAAAACUCGAUUUUCAACCACUCCACAAAUUUCUUGUUAACAAAAUGGACAAUGACCCCAAGCAUACUUCCAAAGUUGUCGCAAAAUGACUUAAUGACAACAAAGUCAAGGUAUUGGAGUGGUCAUCACAAAGCCCUGACCUCAAUCCAAUAGAAAAUUUGUGGGCAGAACUGAAAAAGCGUGUGGGAGCAAGGAGGCCUACAAACCUGACUCAGUUACACCAGCUCUGUCAGGAGGAAUGGGCCAAAAUUCACCCAACUUAUUGUGGGAAGCUUGUGGAAGGCUACCCGAAACGUUUGACCCAAGUUAAACAAUUUAAAGGCAAUGCUACCAAAUACUAAUAGAGUGGAUGUAAACUUCUGACCCGCUGGGAAUGUGAUGAAAUAAAUAAAAGCUGAAAUAAAUCAAAUCUCUCUACUAUUAUUCUGACAU
rnacentral:lncRNA from 1 species